rnacentral:lncRNA from 1 species
GGGGAUGUGAUGGGAUAUUUCUUUAUUAUCUUCCUACUCAUUUGCAUAACAUUAGUUAUUUUGUUUAUAUGAGGUAUUAUAUUUUAUUAUUUGCUGCAUCUUUUUUAUAUGAUUAUAAUAAACUUCAUAGAUUAGAGCAAUGAUUUUAGGAUCAUGGUGAGAUCAUACCAGUGAGAUCUAAAAUCUUGAUAGCCCCAAUGUAAAAUAUUUUUACUUGUUGGAUCAUCGAGUCGGAGAUCGAUG